AGGGUGAGGGAAAGGGUGCGGUGAUGUGCCGGAUAAGCCUGAGGGAAGGAGAGGAAAAGCAGUGAAUUGCUGCACUCCUGCUGGGAACUCAGAACUGGGAUCAAUAAUUACCUGGUCAGAGAUCAGUUUGGGGGUUCCUGGGGAAGAAGACAGAAGGUAAAGAUACUGUGGUGCCCCUAGUAUAGGGCAAAGGAGGAAAAGACCUGUCAGACCUCAAUUUAAGGCAGAGAAAGACAAGAACAAGGUGGGACCUCUAGUUGAAGGCAGAGAAACAGAGAAGGACAAGAUUAAGGUGGAACCUCCAGUCAAAAUAGAGAGCAAGACAAGGACACUGUGGAACUCCUGUCAAAGGCAGCAAAGAACAACGUGGGACCCCUGAAGAACGGAGUGAAGAGCAGGAAAAUCCUGCAAAGAGCAGGAGUUGAUGCAUUGCACUCAGUGUGACAGAGACUGAAUCUCAUACAGAGGAACAUCUGAUGGAACCAAAGUGACCUCUUGCUGCUCCACCAAUGGCCGAGGCUUCCCAGGGACUGUGCCCAAUCCCUGGUACAACUGAGCUCACUCUCUUGUGUUUGGCUUCUGGUGCCUCUCAGACUGGAGGAGAUGAGGACGUUUGGGAGAAGCCGGUGAGUGAGUGGACGGUACAAGACGUCUGUUUCUGGUUUCAGUACGGACCCUUACAGGACGGAGCUGGCCUGGUGCAGGCGGCAUAUGCUCACAGUAUCUCAGGUCGGGCUCUGCUAAGACUGACAGAUGAUUUGCUGAAGCGGAUGGGAAUUCACCAGGAGAAUCUCAGGAGACUAAUUCUUCUUGAAGUUCUAGAAUUGCGGCUACAGCAAGAGCUGCACCAACUACUUCACAUGACUGAGGGAUUUGGUGAACAAUGGUAAGAACAUUUUAUUUGGGUUUGGUGAGGAACAUUGUCCCAAUAAGUGUGUUUGGGAAGGCAUGCCAGCAACCAUCAGGCCAACUGAAAUAGGUGGAAGAGUCGAAUGCCUGACCACCAAAUCCAGAAAAGGCUACUAUAAAAUGGCCAAUAGCAUAGAGAAAUGGAUUCCUAUUAUUUCCUGUGUAAUGACUGCCCCACACUCCCUGCAGUGUUUAGCCACAUGGACUAAGUGAAUGGACUACUGCAUGAUGAAACAGACAGACAGAUAGACAGACAAAGCUGCAGAAAGUGUUUGCUCUGUGGAACAUUCAUACAGAGAAAUCUGUGCAAGGGAAGGGACAUUGGCACUGUUUGGUGGCAUCACGGGGGGACUUGGGGAACAAAGGACAAUUUCUGUACAGCGCUGCACAAUAUGUUAGUGAUAUAAAUAAAAUAAUAGUAAUAAAG